rnacentral:tRNA from 1 species
GGGGUCCUGGGCUCAGUGGCAGAGUCUCUGCUUUGAAUGCAGAAGGUCCCAGCUUCCAUCCCUGCUGUGCCCA